rnacentral:rRNA from 1 species
AUGUUGUUGUGCUUCUUGAGUAGGGAGGUGACGAGGGGGCCGAGGAGCAGGGACUCGAGGAGCAUGCCCAGGGCGCCUUGGCGGCGAAAUCCCCUUCCUCCUCCUUCGCGGACUGGCGCACGGUUGAGGCGGCGACCGGCGCGCGUACGCCCACGCGCACCCGAGGUCGCGCCGGCGCAGCACGAGCUACUGUUGCUUGCCCCGUGCCUCCUCCGGCGUCGGGGGCAACGAGGAGGACGUGUCGUCGCCGCGCGCAAGCAGGGGACGCAGCGGGACGAAGAAGAAACGAUUUUGGGGGUGAAAGAGGGGAGAUUUGGGAGGCAGGCAAGGGGGGCAGGGGAGCUGCGCGAGGCAGGAGGGAGCGACGGAGGAGGACGCGCGGGAGAGCAGCACGGCGAAGCUGAGCAGGGGAGCUCCGGCGCGGGAGAGCAGGGAAGCAGCGCGGCGAAUCUGAGCAGGGGAGCUCCGGCGUCCAUGCGUCUGUGUCGGAGCGUCGAUUGGAGACGAUGA